rnacentral:rRNA from 1 species
UACGGAGGAGGCAAGCGUUAUCCGGAAUUAUUGGGCGUAAAGCGUCCGUAGAUGGUUUUGUCAGUCUGCUGUCAAAGAGCGGGGCUUAACCCUGUAAAGGCAGUGGAAACUACAAGACUAGAGUGCAGUAGGGGCAGAGGGAAUUCCCAGUGUAGCGGUGAAAUGCGUAGAGAUUGGGAAGAACAUCCGUGGCGAAAGCGCUCUGCCGGACUGCAACUGACAUUGAGGGACGAAAGCUAGGGGAGCGAAUGGG